rnacentral:lncRNA from 1 species
GGCAGGUAUAGAGUGUCUCACCUCGGAGUACUGGGGAUGAGGGGUGAGCGUCCGGGCAGCAGGCGAGCCCCCAAGGCUGGCCCGCUGACACCAUUCACAGGGAGAUCAAGUAUUUUGCCCAAGAGCACACAGCUAGAGAGUGGAGAAGUCCGGAUUCAACCCAGACAGAUUGACUCCAGAGCGUGUGCUAUUCGUGGCUAUGCCAGAAUGCCCUGAUGGCCUCAGGUUUGCCUUGCCAACUGACAAAGGCGACUGUUUCCUACCCAUUGGCUCAGAUGGUUCCAGCUUCCUACCCUUCCAGUUAAAAUAAACAAAAACGAGGGUCUUGAGUGUCUAUGAUUUUCAUAAGAUCUAUGGCGUUUCUUCUGCAGAUGAUCAACAGUUGCCUGCCUUGGACUUUGGAGUUCCCAAGAACUAGAAAAUCCAGGUCAGGAACUGUAUCUUUGCUCAGCCACCUGCAAACAGACUUGAGAACAAUGUAAACCACCCUCUGCAGGAUAUUGAUUCUGAUGGAGUAAAUGUUGAUUAAGCAGAAUGGUGUUUUUUUUUUUAACUGGAGGAAUUCCAGAUCUUUCCUUAGGCCUGUCUCUCCAGGGAAAUGAGCUCUAGCCUUAAAAAUCUACAGAAAACCUGAGUAAGAAUGAAGAUUUAUGAUGGGAGACGCUGGGCGGAAGACGGCUGGCUAUCUGGUGGGCUAUCUAGAAGCUCAUCUUUGUGUUAUUAGAGAAACACUCCCGCUCUUGACAGGAUAUGGUCUGCUUAUCACAUAAUCUUCUCAAGUUUCAUUCCCAUUCUGCUUACAAAUGCCCCAAAUAUAAAGAGAUGCAUUUCAUCAAGA